ACUGAGAGGAGUCUACCUUGUUCCACGAUGCCAGCGGUGGUACUAGCUGCAACACUGAUGGCAGCGGGGGCUGUGGUCUGCCGACCAACUGAAACACAACACAAUGCAGAAACACAUGGCAGCACUCACCAGAGAAGUUCCUGGAGACGAGCAUGGUGGUCAAAAUGGCCCCCUGUCAGGGUAAAGCAGAAGACACAGAAUUAUGCAAGAACUGCCGAAUGGAUUUCCAUGAAACUUGGUAUUUGACCAGGCAAAGAAA